rnacentral:rRNA from 1 species
UACAGAGGUCUCAAGCGUUGUUCGGAUUCAUUGGGCGUAAAGGGUGCGUAGGUGGCGCCGUAAGUCAGGUGUGAAAUCUCGGGGCUCAACCCCGAAACUGCACUUGAUACUGCGAUGCUCGAGUACUGGAGAGGAGAUUGGAAUUUACGGUGUAGCAGUGAAAUGCGUAGAUAUCGUAAGGAGGACCAGUGGCGAAGGCGAAUCUCUGGACAGUUACUGACACUGAGGCACGAAGGCCAGGGGAGCAAACGGG